rnacentral:rRNA from 1 species
GAUGAACGCUGGCGGCGUGCCUAACACAUGCAAGUCGAACGGUAGCCUGGAGCAAUCUGGGUGAGAGUGGCAAACGGGUGAGUAACACGUAGGCGACCAACCCCGAAGCGGGGAAUAACUGCUGGAAACGGUAGCUAAUACCCCAUGUGCCUGGGGGAUUCAUUUUUCCGGGUAAAGCUGAGAGGUGUUUCGGGACGGGCCUGCGGCCCAUCAGGUAGUUGGUAGGGUAACGGCCUACCAAGCCGAUGACGGGUAGGGGGCGUGAGAGCGUGACCCCCCACACUGGCACUGCGACACGGGCCAGACUCCUACGGGAGGCAG